rnacentral:rRNA from 1 species
ACGGGAGGCAGCAGUGGGGAAUAUUGCACAAUGGGGGAAACCCUGAUGCAGCAACGCCGCGUGAGUGAUGAAGUAUUUCGGUAUGUAAAGCUCUAUCAGCAGGGAAGAAGAUGACGGUACCUGACUAAGAAGCACCGGCUAAAUACGUGCCAGCAGCCGCGGUAAUACGUAUGGUGCAAGCGUUAUCCGGAUUUACUGGGUGUAAAGGGAGCGCAGGCGGUCCUGCAAGCCAGAGGUGAAAACCCGGGGCUCAACCCUGCGGAUUGCCUUUGGAACUGUGGGACUUGAGUACUGGAGGGGCAGGCGGAAUUCCUGGUGUAGCGGUGAAAUGCGUAGAUAUCAGGAGGAACACCGGUGGCGAAGGCGGCCUACUGGACAGAAACUGACGCUGAGGCUCGAAAGCGUGGGGAGCAAACAGGAUUAGAUACCCUGGUA